AGAAGGGUUUCCACUAUAGAAAUUUUAACAUGCUCAUCAUCCUUCCAUCUUCCAUGAUCAUAACAGCAGAUAUUAUAUACAUAUUAUCAUUAAUGAGAACUUAAAUACGAUAUUAUGGGGAAACAAAGCAUGAGUUCCCUUCUGUAGCUAGUUCUAUACAAACUAAAACUUCUGUUAGCAAACAACAAGAACAGGUUUAUAAUUGAAAGUCCAUGUCCGAGUUGUUGCUAAUAUACCCUUUAUUUAACAAGUAGAAAGUUAUCAAAAUUUUAAUUCAAAUCCCCUACUGAGGGCGUAAUUUACGAAAUCAUUAAACUCAUGUAAGUCGAUGAACCCAUCUCCAUUAGCAUCAUUAUAGGCGAGCGCACGCCCGGCUCUGUAACCAGGAAAAAAUGCGCCAAGUUGACUGAAGGCUUCAGCUAUCUCUUCCCUGCUCAGACGAUUGUCAUUGUUCUUAUCGAAUCGACUGAAUAGUUUCUUUAACUGCACAUCUGAAACAGGAACUCCUUUGUUUCUUACGAAAAAACCCAUCUUGCAGGAGCGACUUUGGAGUGGCUUUAUUAGGGCUUGGACUGGACUAAGGAUAAGUUGUACUAUGGCCUUGCUAAUAUGGCAGCAAGGAUUUUAUAGAACAUCUUCG
rnacentral:misc_RNA from 1 species